rnacentral:lncRNA from 1 species
UUGUCCAUGAAGAGUUUCCAUGAAACACUUCAUAGUUUGCUGCAAAUAAACAGUUCUCGAAGCAGAGACUCUUAAUACCGAUAUGCAGCGUGUGCCUGAGAAAGUGUCGGAGCCUUUACCUCGACCUUCCCGUGAAAAAGGGAACAGAAUAGUCAACGGAAAAGGAGAAGAUGAAGCAACGAUGAAGGCUGAAUGUCUCACGCCUGUAAACCCCAGCACUUUGAGAGGCUGAGGCCGACAGAACACUUGAGCCCAACAGUUCAAGACCAGCCUGGGCAACAAGGCAAAACCCCGUAUCUACAGAAACUACAGAAAUCAGCCCAGCAUGGUGACACAGGUCAACGGUCAAAACGACUUGGAUGGCUGAAGUGUGAGGAUCACCUGAGCCCAGGAAAUGGAGAUAGGAGUGAGCCAAGGUCUCGCCACCGCAUUCCAACCUGCGUUACAGAGUGAAUCCCCCUCUCAAAAAACAGCCGUUAAAAUGCUGCUUACACGGAAGACUGUGUUCUAGGUACUCCAGGAUACACACAAAUAUGUUUGCUGACCUCCAGUGGCCCAUGAUAUGCAGGCGCUUUCAAUGAUUUUUUAAACAAGGAAACCUAAAAACUUCCGAAACCCAAAAUUUCAGAAUGUGAUAGAUGGACUUUGAGUGGUCAUUUUAUGUUUUAAGAUGUAGUCUUGCCCUGUCACCCUGGCUGGAGUGCAACAGUGUGAUCUUGGCUCACUGCAGCUUCCGCGUCCCGAGUUGAAGCGAUUCUCCCGCCUCGGCCUCGGCCUCCUGAGCAGCUGGGAAUACAAGCAUGCACCAGCCUGCCCGGCUAAUUUUUGUGUCUUUUCUUCUUUUAGAGUCAAGGUUUCACCAUGCUGGCCAGGCUGAUCUCAAACUCCUGACCUCAGGUCAUCCCCCACCUCGGCCUCCCACGGCGCUGGGAUUAUAGGCUUGAGCCAUGGGGCCCGGCCAAGUCAAUAGUUUAGAUAAACUACAAUGACAAAAUUAUGACAGUGAAGUAUUACCAUAUUGGUAUUAAGAGUCUCUGCUUCGAGAACUGUUUAUUUGCAGCAACAGAUGAAGUGUUUCAUGGAAACUGUUCGUGGACAGCUUACAAAACACACCAAAAAAAAUCCCUUUGCGAUUCCACUUCUGCAAGGCUCCACAGAAGUCUCCAACCUUCAAAUCUUCAGUCUCUGAAAGCACCGAUUCCUGAAAGGAUGGCCUCAAAUGACCAAGUAUACGAGCCGUCUAUAUCCCUGCUCCUGAAAAACAAGCUAACUGGACUCUCCAUCACCUGCCCCCAGCACAGAUGCACUACCAGCUACCCAGCUGAACUCCAUGACUGA